rnacentral:rRNA from 1 species
UACGUAGGGUGCUAGCGUUAUUCGGAUUUAUUGGGCGUAAAGGGAGCGCAGGUAGUUUCUUAAGUCUGAUGUGAAAGCCCACGGCUCAACCGUGGAGGGUCAUUGGAAACUGGGAAACUUGAGUACAGAAGAGGAAAGUGGAAUUCCAUGUGUAGCGGUGGAAUGCGUAGAUAUUGAGAAGAACACCAGUAGCGAAGGCGGCUUUCUGGACUGUAACUGACACUGAGGCACGAAAGCGUGGGUAGCAAACAGG